GACAACAUUGGCAAUUAAUAGUCUUGUGUCCAAGAGACAAUAGUGUGGUAUUCUUUUGUUCACUUCAUCGGGAUAUUGAUAAAGUCACGAUGAAAAUUAUUUCAACUGCUUUUGAGGUUCAUCAAUUUGCAAAUGGCAAUAGAAGAAAGGCUAUUACAUGGCUUAGGCCCAAUACAAGGAAACAACAUAACAUUAAUGAUUGUGGAUACUAUGUGAUGAAAAAUAUGUUGGAUAUGUUUCUUUGAGUUAUAUAAAGAAUAACUUUAUGUUUCUCGUGGAUGCGUGUUGGUUUUUCAAGUGCGCGAAAGGACUUAAAUGGUUGAAUAUUUGUUAUGUUAUUAUUUUGUAGUAGUAAACCGUGUGUAAACCAUUCUUAUCAUUUUGUACACUUGUGUA